CUACAUAUAUUCUCGUACUAAGUAGAACUAUUCGUAUACACCGAAUCUCGAACAAUAUAACGAAGUCCAUUUGAAUUUGCGCUUGGAUAUCCACGCGAGUGUUAGAAAAACGGAUUCGUAAUCGUGCUGGCGAACACCCACGCCUGUGGCCACCGACACGCGUAUGAAUCUGUCAUCCCUCGAUGAUUUCUGGAAAAGAAGA